UACGGAGGAUUCGAGCGUUAUCCGGAUUUAUUGGGUUUAAAGGGAGCGUAGGCGGGUUGUUAAGUCAGUUGUGAAAGUUUGCGGCUCAACCGUAAAAUUGCAGUUGAUACUGGCAUCCUUGAGUACAGUAGAGGUAGGCGGAAUCCGUGGUGUAGCGGUGAAAUGCUUAGAUAUCACGAAGAACUCCGAUUGCGAAGGCAGCCUGCUGGACUGUAACUGACGCUGAUGCUCGAAAGUGUGGGUAUCAAACAGG
rnacentral:rRNA from 1 species